UUAAAAUUCUAAAAAAUGUGCCUGCUUUUACAACUUCAGCCAAAAAUGCAAACAUUUUCAAACAUCUUCUUGUAUGAUAUUUAACAGAAAAGAUAUAGAUCAAUGACUGAGCUUUAGAGUUACUGAACAGUGGAAUUGUAAAUUUUAAAGUAACUGCCAGCUAGUUAGUAACAGCUGCUAAAAGAGAACACUGCCUGUUUUUUAGUAUUGAAUGGAAAGUAAAGAAAACUGCCGGAAAAAAGGUCCAUAAUUACUCCCAUGCUUUGGGAUAAAUAUCCUAUUUCUGCGCUGAUGGCCUAGUGAUUAGGUCGUGCCCCAUGUACUGAGGACAGUCCUCCAAGCUAGCGGCCUGGGCUCAAGUCUGACCUGCGGCACCUUCCCAGCAUGUCAUUCUCCACUUUCUCCAAAUUUAUCCAGUGCCCUGUCUAAAUAAAGGCAAAAAUCCCCAAAAUGAAUCUUUAGCUAUAGGUCCCAUUUCAGGGGCUGCGUUUGUUCAGGGGACGCAUAAGAAGAUGUCUGAGUGUCACAAGGCUGUCCCAUUUUGAAGGCUCCUUCAAAUGCGGCAAGGGGGGGAUAGUUGGUGAUGCAAACAGGGUUUCCACCAUAGACCAGAUCUUCUCAUUUCAGAUUGGCCUGAGGGGUCGAUGAAGGGUGGGUCCUUCAAGGAAUUCAACCCCCGAAACGAGACACAGCUGUUGUGUAUGGUUAUUCGCUGACGUAUUGCUCAAAGCAUGCUGGGAUACCUGGCGACACUGACCAAGCUGAAGGUGCCGUUUUUCGAAAAGCCCAAUUUUUAGUAUAUAAAACACCCUUAUUGUGAGCUUGUUGGAUUGGGUAGACUUUUCCGUUCAGGCCAACAUGCGACCAAUGAAGCUGAGCGGAUCUAAAGCAAAAUUUGUGGCAUGUAUUAAGUCAUGCAAAUCCUGAUAUAGAGCUGCAAGCAUGGAGCACCAGGUAUGAACUGCUACCAGGAACACAUGGAUGACUUCAAUGUCUAUUGUUUCAAAACCAACUCCACCAAAUGCCAGAUCUCCUGGACACUCACCCUACAGCUCACUGUUGUCUUUGUUCCAUUAAUCCGCUUUCCAUCGAUCUAAAAGUCAGAUGUCAAUCAAUCUAUACCGGCAGCUUGUCAUAAACCAUUUGUACUCGCUGAGAAGUUCUCUAUGCAUUGUCGCAAAUUCCUAGGAUGUUAAAUGGAUAAUAUCUAAAGAAAACAAGUGGAUUAAACCAUUUCAUUCACACUGAUGGUUUUUGCUUUGGGAAGAUCACGAAAUUUCAUGGUUUGAGGUCUUUAAACUUGCUUACUGGUCAGUUUCAUGAGCAUAAAUUCAGUAAUCAUGCUGAGGUAACGGUGAAAUAAUCAACCAUUGGAAAGCACAUUUUGAUUUAUAAAAACUGCCUUUUGCUAACAAAGCAGCUCUAAAAUGUUUACAGGAUACAUUAACUGACAGUAAAGAUGUCUGCUCUCGCACACUGGUCUUAAAAUGUGGGCCGUCAAAUGAUUACAAUUUUUUUGAUCGAUGAAUCACUAAAUUUGGAUAGUUAAUCGUGAUUAAUCACAUGUUUGAAAUUCCAUUAUCUUGCAUUUAAAAAGAGCCGAUAGUGCUUUACAUGCUAUUUCAAUUCAACCCAGCUUUUAUUUUGAAAUAAAGUAAGGACCUUCUGGUAGAGCAAAGGUUAAGACAUUACCUUAGUCGCGGAAAAAGGAACUCGUCACAGAUCUAAAACUGAAGUCAAACAGCUCAAAGGAACGGUACCAAAGGUCAAUGUGUGAUGUCAUAAGGUGGAUAUUACUUUGGACUCGUCAGCUGAGCUGUCUGAGAGUUUGUUAAAGUGAAAUGAGACAUUCAAAGAUGCAGCAGUGUCUUUCUUUUACAUCACUGAGACUACAGGGAGACACUGAGGACGAGUAUCUACGGAGAGCCUGAAGGGACAAAAUAGCAUGCGAUUAAUCAUUAAUGCUUUAAUUUCAGCCCGUAAUUAAUCCCGAUUAAGUAGUUAAUGCUGACAGCUCUACUUAAAACUUAAAGUAUCCUGACUUUAAUAGUUCUUUGGUUCUCUCUUGAAAUAUUUAUCGUACUGUACUUCAUCACACUAAGCUGGCUCAAGUGUCUGUCUUUAAUGUUAGAAUUCAGCCAAAUCUGUAAACGACCAAUAUCUCUACAGUACUGUACGUUCUUUAUUACAUCACGCCAAAGAUGGAGGGUCAUCUCUGGAAACAUGAGGAUUGAUUCACAUAUGCAAUGUAGUGUAUGUGUCUAAAGACACCAACAGCUUCAGUACUGAAAUCAUUAAGGGCUAUUUUUUGGUUGUAGGUUUUUUUUUUCUUUUUAAGCCUUGUGUUGCAGACAUUCUGGGAUUCACACAAGAGAAUAGUUUUUCUUGUUGAGUUUCUUUGUUCAGAGUGGUUUGACAAAUAGGGGAUGUUGUAUUGACUGAGCAGAAGAAGGCAGACUGGGAAAGGAUUCAGCUGCUCUCAGAGCGAACGUUCACGUCUGAUGGUAGAAAUGAUUUAGUCCAGAAGUCGAAUGAUUAGUCUCGGCUUUGUGCUGUCAUCAAUCUCUUCCCUUUUUCUUCCUGUAGCAUCAAUGUCUGUGUAGGUUCUCAGUCAUCCAGGUCAUGGUGAAUACAAAGCUUGAUCCAAAGGCAACUGGACUGGCUGAAGAUCUUUUAGAAGUGAAGAAGCCCUUCAGAGGAGAGGUGAAACGUCUUCCAAUUUCUUCAAACAGUCCAGUUGCCUUUGGAUCUGUAGCUUCACUGAUACCAAUCCAUCACAGUUUUAUGUUUUUGUAUGUCCAUCUAUCCAUCCAUCCAGUCAUCCAUAUUUUGCUGCUCUGGAAUUGGUUGGAUUUCAAAGAUGGGCACUCGACAACCUUAGCUGUUCAUGGUUUUCAGAUUAAGCUUGUAAUACAAAGACCUGGAUCACUAGAAACCUUCAAAGAUCAGACAACCUCAGCUGUUGGUUAAACCAUAUUCUGAAUGAGAAAUUUGAAUGGAAUUGGACACAUGCAGCCGUCACAUAAAGCUGCAUUCUGAUUUUAUCCAUACAUCAAGCAAAGUUAAUCAGCUGAUAGUUACACAUGGAGCAGUGAAGUCCAGUGUCUAGGUUUUCAACUAAAGGAAUGCCAAGGAAGCAUCUGAGCAAUUCAGCAUCAAGCAAUGUCUUCAGAAAAUAUGACCUUUAACCCUUAGCCUGGGUCUAACUCAACCAAGUUGACUGGUUAGCAUGGCAGAGCGAUCAUUUUUUCAAAGACACAUAGCUUCGCCUGAAGGUCAAGAUAUAUUAAUUGGAAGUAAUUGAAACUAUCUGAUGUUUCCUUUCACUCUAAAUCAAAUCUGUUCCAGUAAAGAGUUGUUGUAACGAUAAGGCUCAUCAGCAAGGAGCAAGGAGAAGAUGGCGUAUGCUGUAGCUAAGACAGGCAACUCUUCUUCUAUGCCCACAAUCAAAGUUAGUCUUUAUUGAAACCUGCACAGCAACAUGCCUACACAUUAGUUUUGGCUUUAAAGGAUUUUUUUUAACUGGUUAUAUUGACCUCUCAUGUUUGGUGAUGUUGUAUAGCAACCGAUUCAGAGUCCGUGUCAGAAUGUUAUAACAAAUUGACAAUAUGUUCUUUGCUAGCUGUGGUCAAAACCAAACUGUGCUUUACCACCUGCCUUAGUUGUGCAUCACAGGUCAACAUGAGGUGUUUUUAAAGAAACUUAUUAAUGGGCUGACGGUGGUGCUACAGUAGGAGAGUGUGAUCAGUGUGUCAUUACCAUCAACAUUUCUGUUGCUCAUAUUCACAGCAUGUUUCGCUGAUCUUUGGCCAGUUUUCAUUGGUACUGAAACGGAUCAUUUUGACAGAAAAUUAUAAAUUUUUCAAAAUCAUUUAUCGUCCAAAAGAAAAGCCGACAACCUGUUGCCAUGCCUGUAAUGUUCCGCAGCUACCAUCAGUUGUGGAUGUUGUCCGUCGCUCCCAAAGAACAAAGCAUUUGUCCAUUGUAAACGCCCCAAAAAAAAAAGAAAACCCGACAUCCAUUCUGGUCCAAAUACUUGCAUGGUUGUUCGCUGUUGAUCGAUAUCAUGUACAGUUCAAAGUGUCUUGUUCGACUGCCAAUCAGAAUAUGUUGAUAUACCAUGCGGAGGAUUAAUCAAAGGAAAGAUUUCGUCUUUCAAAUGAUAUAUUUUCACCAGUUUUUAAACAGAUCCUGUAUAUUUCAAUGUUUGUUUUUCCUUUUUAAAAAUGAUGCAAAAUGAGAGUACAUGUGGACCCAACAGUUAUGAGGUGAAAACAAUGUGAAUGUUAAAUAAAGACCAAUGCAUUUUACUGACCAGUUUUGAUACAUAUAUGCAUACCGAAGUUCUCCACUAAACUGGGGCUAACGUUUCUUUACAGUCUGAUUAAGAAGAUCUAAAGGCAGGGUUGGUCAUUUUUGAAAACUAGCAUGAUUUUGAAAGUAGCAUUCCCUCAGUGCUCCGUCUGCACCCCCUCCCCUCUGUGCCCCCUCUAAAGCCACGCCCCUCACGUACAUGCACGAGCGACGUUGCUCCAGAAGCGGACCUCAGCUCACGCUCUGAGUGUGAGCUAGUGCACGCAAGGGGUAGAGAGCGAGCAGGGAGACAGGGAGGCGCCUGAUUGGUUCAUCAGAUUGGUACCUCGUGGCAGACAUUGGUCAAAGUUUUUACAGACUUACAAACUGAUACAGAUGACGGAUUUUCUUUGUUCCUUUUUCAGAGCACGAGUUAUUAAUUUCUGUCAGGACCUAAAGACAAUUUCAACCAAAAUCUUAAAAAGUGGAUCUGGAGGAAAUGACCCACCCUGCCUUUAAUUCAAGAAAAACACACGUUCUGUUUGUUCAUUAUGGACGUCUAAUGUCUGAGAAUGCUCUGUGUCGUGCUGUCGAUGUCUGUGAAAAUUAUACUUUGUGUGACUUUUGUAAAUAUGUCAGAUAUGGUGAGUUUUCUGUGUAUGUUUUUGUGAAUACAUACAUUAUGUAAAUAAGUAUAUCAUUUAUCUCACUUGUACAAUUAAAUCGUCCGAUUUGUCCAUG